rnacentral:antisense_RNA from 1 species
AACCGCCGCACUUUCCCAAGCCCGCAGGCGCCCCCCCCACCAGCGCUGCACCCCCGACCCAUUCCCCGCGGCCCCCUCCAGGGGAAAAAAUGAAACCAGACUGGCCGAGGAGGGGGGCGGCAGGGGCCGGGGUGCGGAGUAGAGGUGAGGCAGACGGGACUUACUUUGCGAGGCGCGGUGCGGGGCGCCGCCGACGAGAAAUAAAGGCCCCGAUCCGGGCUGCCUGGAGCCCCCCGAGCGCAGCAAUGUCAGGGCUCCAGUCCGGGCGGCGUUGGCGGCCGCAGGGGACGGGGACGGGCGCGCGUGCGGCGGGCGCUCUCGCUGCGCUCCGGCUCGAGCCCCGGCUCCGCGCGGCUCCGCUCCUGGCUCCCCUCUGGCUCCUGGCACCAACUCCGGGCAGUCACAUGACGCCGGCGCCGCUCGCUCUGCGAGCCUCCCGGGGCUGGCGGGAGAAUAACUUGUCUGAUUACCAGUAUUCUUGGAUGCAGAAGUGCUGAAGAUGAGCACACACACGUACGGAGAAUUUCUGGAGAAUUCAGCUGCUCAGAACAAGAACUGAGAUCCAGAGAGAUGAUGACUUUGCCCAUAGACCAAACAAAGAAAUACAUGUUUCAGUCCUGUGUCCUUCUGCUAUGUGUGUCCAGAAUUGGUGGGUUCUUGGUCUCACUGACUUCAAGAAUGAAGCCGCGGACCCUCACAGACCGUGUGUGAAUGCCUGCUCUGUGAGCCCUCAGAAUCUACUGGCCGAAUGAGUGCGUGAAGGAGGAAAUGUGCUCAGAGCUGCUGUGUGUCAUCCUGUGUUUGAAGUGCUCUUGCAGCUAUCAUUCGUCCUGUUAAGAAUUUGAAGAAGUGUGUGCACAAAGACGGAGUCUCACUCUGUUGCCCAGGCUGGAGUGCAGUGGCACAAUCUUGGCUCACUGCAACCUCUACCUCCUGGAUUCAAGCGAUUUUCCUGCCUCAGCCUCCAGAGUAACAGGGAUUACAGGCAUACUCCACCUUGCCCUGCUGAUUUUGUAUUUUUAGUAGAGACGGAGUUUCACCAUGUUGGCCAGGCUGGUCUUGAACUCCUGACCUCAAGUGAUCCACUGCCUCGGCCUCCCAAAGUGCUGGGAUUACAGGCAUGAGCCACUGGGCCUGGCCAAAUGCUCUACUUUUUAAAUCAAUGUUUUCCAUAAUAGGGAUUUUUGCUAUGUGCUUUAGAAAUUAGAGAACAAAUGGUGAUAAUAUAUGCUAAACUUAAAAUUAGUAUGCCUCCUUUUAUAGACAACAAGAACUUUGUCACUUCCCAGUUUGUCUUGUCAUUCAGGAGGCUCAGAGCUACGAUCUGUGCCCACUCGUGCUGCCUAUUCUUAACUUUGAUUUCCUGAAGCAGCGAUUUCAUCUCCGUUUUCCCUCAUCACCUGUUCUUUUAACUGUUUAAAAACAGCAUUACAUUUUGUUGAAAGUGGCCUCAAAUUCUUUUUGGUAGAAGGGAAAUUGUAAUUCAUGAGAGGAAAAAAAUUUUUCUAACUAUUCUCAGGUGUGUUUAAGGGCUGCAUUCCAUGAUGCUAUCAAUGCCUUCUUUCAGCUCACAGGAUAUUGGCCCUGUUAAUGAGUCUGAUGUUUCUAGUAUCACAGGCACCGGAAAAUAUGCACAUUAUGCUGGAGCAUUAGAAUGCAACAGAAAGAGCCCUGGGCUUGGAGUAUGCAGAACUGGUUCUUGUUACAACUCCUCUUACUAGUGGGCUCUGGAAGAAAACACAUUGAAUUCAUGAUCAUGGUUAACCUUUGGAGAGAGAGAGGAGACCAGGAUGAAGGAGCCAGUCAAAGAUCCUGUUCAAGUGUACACUAAGCCAGCAGGUUCACCAGAAAGCUAUUGAGCGUUUGCUGGAACACAUUAUGCAGGGUGAAUUUCUUCUGGAAUGUUGCCAAGGAUUUUUUAUGCUUCUGUGGCAGGCAUUUCUCAAACAUUGUCAUUUAGCCAAGCAAAGAAGAUUUUCUUAAAGGAUAGAAAAUGUUAAAAAAUUUUUGUUUGUUUAAAGAUAGGUUAAAUGGCAAUAUGAUCUCAGGAUAAGACAGAGAAAAUCACUUAUUCCUCUAAGUGAUCUGAUUAGGUUAAUGAUCUUUUGCCUUUAAACAGAUUCAUCAUUAUUCCUAAAGUAUUGCUAUAUUAAUACUGUCUUCUAGAAAGUAUCCCUCAGUGCCUGCUUUUCUUUGAUAUCAUUAGCUGUUUUUCGAAACUGAAUUUGCUCUUCAGAGAUUUCUCAUAUGUUUGAGUAUAAGGAACUACUGGUAAUAGCCAAGAAAAUUUGGAGGUGCAGAGAACAUGCUGAAAUAGAAUUUUUCACUUUCAAUUCUAGAACUAUGCCAUAAAAAAAUAAAAAAGGAAAAUGU